rnacentral:lncRNA from 1 species
AUGGCGCUGCGGGAGGGGCGCGGGCGUGCGCCGGGAAACUCCGAUCCAGGGCGGCUGGCAACGUCCCGCAGCCGGACCCGAACUAAUCCUGUGGAGGCCGACGGCUCGGAGGGCCGGGCCGCCCGGCGGGCAUCCUCCCCGGGCAGCGCAGCCCCCCGCACGACGGCUCCCCGGGCGCGGAGGGGGCGCGGGGGGCGCGGAGCUAGCGGCGCGGCGGCGGCAGCAGGACAAAGGAGACCAUGUGCGGGGACGGGCAGCGGCUCCGCGCAGCCUCGGGGCACAACCGCGGACCCCCGGCGGUGGCGGGCGGCGACUCCGGGGGGGGGUGCCCGGCCCCGCUGUCAGCACCCAGCUACCACCACCGGCAGGCAAGGUGCUCCUCAGCACCGCCGAUUUUCCUCAAGCACCGCACGCCAUCGGCAGCAGCUGCCGCAGAAAGUAAAGGUGCCAGUACGGUACGUUAUGGCACAAGUGAUUGCUCGCUGGAGCACGGCAGCCGGAGCCAAAAGAUGUCUCCCAUAAAGCAUGCUGAUGCGGAGAUGAGAGGCGGUUAUGCUCGUUGGCACAGUACCUCUAUUUGUGAUGGUUCCUGGGAAAUGGAGAGGUGCUAACAUAGGCCCAGUGUGGGUUCUCAGUGUUUUCGCCGUUGGUUCCAAACCAACACUGGGCUAAGAGUGCUAAUGGAGUCAAAUAGCAACAAGCUCCAUUUGGGUUGGAGCUAAAUCCUCCGCAGUAGGGUUUGGGGACAAACCCCACCACCCCAGUGGCUGGGAGCACAAGGUUGGCCUCACCGGAGCCAGGUGAAGCACAGUGGGCACCCGAGAGAAGCCUGGGCAGGCACACGUCACAUCCUCGGCCAGCUGCAAGAAUUAUUGCAUGGUGCCUCCAAGAUCUGUGCCCGAGGUGAGCUACAUUGGCCUGCAAUGGUUUCUGCUGGGGCAACUGCACAGGAAGACCUGUGAUGGGAAUGACAAUGGGGAUGAACGCAGCCCCAACAGCCCCAAAUUCAGGCCGUGGCUGCAGACACUACGGCGCUUUCGGUGUGUGUCCCCAUCAGGAGUGGGAGCACCUCAGUAAAACUGACAAACCUUCACCAGAAAAUUAAAAACUCAUGGCUGAAUUUAGAUCUUGGCUAUAGCAAUGGAAAUGUUUUUUUCAAAGCUGUCCACCUUAGCAGGGUUAUCCCUGGAUUUCUAUAAUCUCAGCAUGGACUUUGGCUGUUAACUUUACAGGUUUCUGCAUCUCCUACUAGGGGUACACGGCAGCAAGGGGUCUUGUGCCAUCAGCGAGGUGACUGCCAUCUCUCCUCCAGAAAUACAACGGAUCCCACUUUCUAGAACAGACAGUGGCCAGUGGCCAGAAGGCAUCGCAGUCGAUCAGCUAUUUCAUGAGCUCAGAGAAGGAAAUGGAUGGCUUGAGUGCAGCUUUCAGUCUCCACCAAAAAUAAAUAAAUGAACGCGUUUGAACAGCGUAAGUGUUCCCUGCGCAACAACCAGAGGAGCCGGGGACUGCAUGGAUCCCAAGACUACCGGGCAGGGAAUUAAAUGUGUAAUAUUAAGGUGUGGCAGCUCGUCUCUUCUAUGAGCUCUUUGGUCAAGACUUUCUACAUCUCAGCACUGGUAAGGACUGGUCUAAUUAAAGCCAAGACUCCUCACAAGACUUUAAUUUAUCAAAUUUUGCCUGGAUUAAACUACAGGCUUGUCUGUACUGGAUUUUACAAACAUUAACCACAUGCCACACCUGAAAUCUCAGCAUACACAAAACUGAAAUGCAUUUACCUCCUCCUCUCCCUGGGGCUGUUAAGGUUUAUUGGCAGGGCUGUGGGCCUCAUUAUGUUCAUUAUUUGUGUCUUAGAGAUAAGUAGAGGACCUCUAUUUUCCUGCUAGAACAUUAAACAUGCAUGAAAUGCAUUCUGUAAUUCGGAAUGAGAAGUUUGGAGUUUAGGAAUUCACCCAAAGCCAAAUUAAAUCAAAGGGAGAAAAAAAAAGCAACACCACCUCCUAAUGAUUUCAAUGGCCUUUGGAUGAAGCUUCCCUCUCUCUUGACAGCAGUACUUUCCCGUGUUUUAGGAUAUGCCUGGAUAGGUUUUUGAAAUCUUCUAUGUCUUAUCUACGUGGGACCUUGCCAGAUUUUUUUUUCAUCUGUCUGUGGUCUCUGUCAGUGUCGACAUUUGUUUCUGCCACAACAACAGCCAAAUGAAGUGCAUUGAACUUGGAUCAAAAGUGAUUUCAAGAUCUUUCACUCUCUGAAAGAGGCUUUCAGAUCCAAACAUUUUAUGAAAAUGACCUAAAGCCACCGAGACAGCAGGCAGGGAAGCAGACAUUUGUUUCCAAGCCAUGCACUAAUUCCAAAGAAGAAUUACCCAUCUUUGGCACAGUGAGUAAAUGAAUAUUGAAAUUACAGCAGAUUAUAUUGGAUUAAAUUAUUUAUGGCAAACCUCACCUCACCUGGAAGGUUCUGCAGCUUUUUCCUGGCAACGUGAAAACUGGAUAUUCCAAUACUUUGGUAUUCUGUGAAAGGCUGGAAACAUUUAUGUUUCCAAUAAGUUGCUAAUCUUUCCAGAAGACAUGAUGGUGUCUGAGUUUAGAGCGUGAUUGUGAUACCUUAUAAAGUCCUCCAUCAUGCUCUGAAAACACACAUGAUUUUGUACAUUUCUGGAUAGGAGACGCAGGUUCUUUUCCACAAGAAAAGAAUUUAUGGAGCUAUCAGCAGCUUUUUAUGGCUUUGAACAGCAAGCGACAGCAUCAUGUCCCAACCAGAAAGUAUUUAAAGUCCAAUGCUUUAAAGAGGUUCAAGAAAAGGACCCGUUCUCAUGAGCUACCUAAACAGCCAUUACGACAAACAAAAUUAUGCCAUAAAUGCAGCAACAGAUGUCAGCAAAAAUAGAUUGUGGUGCAGCCAGGUCGGCACUGCUCUCAGCCCCGAGGUGAGCGCCUGGCAUAGCCAGCGGCUCUUGGCAGCGAUGAACAUGAUGCUUUCCGGAUAGUCCCUCUUAGCUGAGCAUGCACGCUCAUGCUUUCUGCUAGGGGAAGGCAGGAGAAAAGGUCGUACAGAGAGUACCUGCAGUACUUCGAAGGAAACAGAGCUAUUGGGCCAUAUAACAUCACUGGCGUGAGUUCCCAGUGUAAGUACAGCUUUUUAUUUGACAAAGCAGAAAACUUUUGUGAGAGCGUAUUAAUGACAGUGCAACUUUUUUAUUAUUUUUAUUUUUCUGCAGCAUUUGCAAAACUAAAACACUUUGUAAUCCCUUCUUUUAUGCAGAACAGAUUGCAGUUUUAAGCAGAGGCCCAUAAACUGCAGGUUCAAAGAAACCUGAAACUGAAUUAGCAUAAAAGCUGGAAUUCUCAUUUAAUAGGAACAGCAAGGCAACUGCUCUGCAGGCAGUUUUAUGAUUUUGGUUUCAAAUGGAAACAAAGAUAAAAAGUGGGGCUCAGGGAACAAUAGGGCUGCUCUCUCUUCUGUGUAUGGGCCUGGCCCUAUAAAAUACUGAGUGGCCUUCACUGUUUCCCAGGACAAAAUUCAGCCCGUUUUUCACACCUAGAGCAGGUUGGAUGGUUUUCUGAAGCCAUUCAUGUACAGAAGAGAAAUCUUCCCUAUCCUGUGAGUGCCAAGGCAUUUCUCCACCAAGCUUCUCCAAACAACACAAGGCCUUUGAGGUGUACAACAGUCAUCUUUCUUCCCUUUCGCCAACAAUGAAGAGCGAGAAAUCCACAGACUGACUUCAAGCUAUAACUUCUCGAUCAGAAAAUAUAAGCAUUUUAUCUGUUCUUCCAUAUACCUUCCAGGGAUGUGAACUCUGAGCUACUGAACAGAUUCUGGAGCACUAUUUAGUUGGAUUUAGCUGCUAGAGACCUUGCUUGACUCGUAAGCUGCUACCUACACUCCAUAGUCUAAGCAGGAACAUUUGUAAGAUCCUAUCACAAAAUAAGAGGAUAAACUAUAAAUUCUUCCCCAUCCACUAGCGCUCCUGUGAGUACACUUCAUAAAUGCACCACUUUUCAGCUGUGGCCAUUAUCUUCCCCUAAUUUCUGCCGGCUAGUAGAUUCUGGAACUGAAGAAGUAUUUCAAAUUAAUUUGUCUGUCAAUAUCUAUGUACUGAAUCAACUAAUAAGAGAGAAGUAUUUUUCAUUCUCUUCUCAGUCAGAGGAAGAGACUUUCUUAUCACUGAAUAAAGCAUCCAUUAUUGUGUGCUGUAAUCCCAUUCUGUCUUUCAGGUCAUUUUUAGCCCAGGAAAUGCUGAAUCAGCACCAGAAACCAAUCAAGUAAUUUCUUUCAUUUUCUAACAUUCAAGCAAAAUAAUGAAAAUCACAGCUCAUUUGAUGAGGAGAAUAUACAACAGAAAGCUAUUCUUCCAAGGAUAAUUUUAAAAAAGGUAUGCCCAGCAAGGAAAUAU